ensembl:lncRNA novel transcript
CUCUCUUCCUCUUUCCCCUCACUGGUAACAGAGCACUCCAAGGUUCUAGGGGAGGUUGGACCCCAAAGUUGGAAGAAUCUGGGCACCUGAGUCACCUGAUGGAGGAGCUCCAACUGCCAACCGGGGGCCCCCAUAUGGACGUGUCACCCAGUGAGAAGUGAGCCUUCCAUUGUGACAAACUGCAGGUAUUUCAAGGCUAAUUUGUUAAAAUCUACGGUUAAUAUGCUAUAUAUGACUUUUGAAUAGUCAGAGGUGUGCCCUCCACAUUAGACUGUGAGGUCCGUUGACUUGUGUGGCUCGUCUCUGACACAGACUCAAGCCCUUAAUAGGCGCCUGGAAACGUAUGUUUUCGUUCACACAAAAAGGAAGUUGACCAAGCCCCCUUGAUGAAGCCUCACUGGGGAGGUGGCCCAUCGAAGGUUGUAUAUUGUGAAUGGGGCGAAGGCAGCGUCGCCGUCUCCUUCAAGUCUGACCUCCAGGUUGGUGUUCAGAUUCCCCCUCCACACCCCACAGCCGUGGUUGCCCGUCUGGAUUUGGUGUUUGGGUCAGAGAUGACGUUCGGGCCGGGCGUAUGGAUGAUGAUGUCCAAGGAGACAGUUCUCUCCUUUACCCCAGUCACAGGAAGGAAGAACUAAGCCUCAUGGUGACUUCCUGGGAGAUACGUGGUAAGAAGCCACAAGACGGUUGGGACUGAGUCUCUGCGCACCGCAUCCUGAGCCUCUGCAUUCUGCACAGCGGGGCGGGCGCAGGCAGCACGGUGCCCCUUACCAUGCUUUCUUCCUGGACUUUCCCUUGACCAGUCUUGGCACGGCAGGCGAGGGAUUGAGGGAUUGGGGCUGGGAGGUGGGGAAGACAGCUCUCUCCCUGGGCCCAUGUCUGGUUAGAUCAAUGCUGUGGGAGCUUAGCGAUCGAAGAGGGAGCAGAGAUGACGGCGGGACGGCAUUGUCUGCCCAAGCCUCAGGCUUCGCAGCCCAGGCUGGGACCAAGAGCUUACAGACGUCAUCGAGUGCAGAUUUUGAGCGACGUACUGAGCAUUGUAAAUCCAGAUUUCUCUUCCAGAGCUGAGUCUGGGCCACAGGACCUGGACACAGGAGGGUCAGUCUUUCCGGUAAUGGUGAGGGUCUGUCUUCUUGGAGCAGCACAGCGGACUCCCACCAGGACAGUGGAUGCUGGGUACGGAAGGGCUGGGCUGAGGACAGUGGAUGCUGGGUACCGAAGGGCUGGGCUGAGGGGGUCACUUUGGCAGUGGUUCUGGAGUCUAAAUUUCUAAGGGCCUGGAACUCAGGAGACUCUAGAUGCUGAUUCUUUUCUGGAGAACUUCUCCAGAGUCACCAUCCUGGCUUGUGCAGACUCAACAUUCCACCUGAAGAGCUCUGGGAACCUCUGGGGCUGGGAGCCUUCUGGGCCUGAUGAGUUCUGUUGGGAUGGAGAAGAUGAUCUUGAAGUUAAAGAUUUCAGUGGGAGUCCAGGAAAACGUCGCAGCUGUCCAUCAUACCCACAACAGCAAACGACUCAGGACUUUGCCAAGGUCACUGCGGCAGCCAAAACCACAGCUGUGAUCUGGGGCCGGACUCAUACCCAGGGGUUGUCUGGGUUCAGGUUCUGCACCCCCGGUUCAGAGAAAGAGGAAACGGAGUGGGCCGUGUGGACCCCGUCCUUCAUCGAACUCCAGAACUAAGGGAACUGGGAGGGGAGAAGGCCGUCACCCUUGCACAGAGCUGCCUCCUUCAGUUCUAGUGGUUUCUACUCCUCUCUGCAGGUUAGCUAAGACGUGCAUGGGUUCCAGAGGGAAUAUGACAAUGUUUCUCUUUAAUAUUACUUGAACCUUUGGUUUUGAUUUCCUUCUAAGUACAGGGGAGUCAAUCACCCCACAUGGUCCAUCAAUCAGGUGUCACAACAUCAUGCUCCUGGGCUAUACAUUCUCAGGUACAUUUCUUCUUGAGAUUAUUUUUCACGUGAGGCAGAAAUAUGUGGCUGCUCACCAGAAAAAAAAAAAAUUCUGUACUUACCCUUACAGUGCAAGCAUUGGAACCUCUGGGAAGUGGCUACCCCCACCAAGGGACUUUUUCCCUGGUCUUGUUGCAUCAUUGUGUGACUGUUCAUAACACUAUUUAUAGCCAACAAUUCUGGACAGAAAUGACAUGUGUCAGCAAAUUUUGCAAGUGCACAGAUA